AUUGAACGCUGGCGGCAGGCCUAACACAUGCAAGUCGAGCGGAUGAAGGGAGCUUGCUCCUGGAUUCAGCGGCGGACGGGUGAGUAAUGCCUAGGAAUCUGCCUGGUAGUGGGGGGUAACGUCCGGAAACGGGCGCUAAUACCGCAUACGUCCUGAGGGAGAAAGUGGGGGAUCUUCGGACCUCACGCUAUCAGAUGAGCCUAGGUCGGAUUAGCUAGUUGGUGGGGUAAAGGCCUACCAAGGCGACGAUCCGUAACUGGUCUGAGAGGAUGAUCAGUCACACUGGAACUGAGACACGGUCCAGACUCCUACGGGAGGCAGCAGUGGGGAAUAUUGGACAAUGGGCGAAAGCCUGAUCCAGCCAUGCCGCGUGUGUGAAGAAGGUCUUCGGAUUGUAAAGCACUUUAAGUUGGGAGGAAGGGCAGUAAGUUAAUACCUUGCUGUUUUGACGUUACCAACAGGAUAAGCACCGGCUAACUUCGUG
rnacentral:rRNA from 1 species